rnacentral:rRNA from 1 species
GGGGAAUUUUGGACAAUGGGCGCAAGCCUGAUCCAGCAAUGCCGCGUGAGUGAAGAAGGCCUUCGGGUUGUAAAGCUCUUUUGUCAGGGAAGAAACGGGAUUGGCUAAUAUCCAGUCCUAAUGACGGUACCUGAAGAAUAAGCACCGGCUAACUACGUGCCAGCAGCCGCGGUAAUACGUAGGGUGCAAGCGUUAAUCGGAAUUACUGGGCGUAAAGCGUGCGCAGGCGGUUUUGUAAGUCUGUCGUGAAAUCCCCGGGCUCAACCUGGGAAUUGCGAUGGAGACUGCAAGGCUAGAAUCUGGCAGAGAGGGGUAGAAUUCCACGUGUAGCAGUGAAAUGCGUAGAGAUGUGGAGGAACACCGAUGGCGAAGGCAGCCCCCUGGGUCAAGAUUGACGCUCAUGCACGAAAGCGUGGGGAGCAAACAGGAUUAGAUACCCUGGUAGUCCACGCCCUAAACGAUGUCUACUAGUUGUCGGGUUUUAAUUAACUUGGUAACGCAGCUAACGCGUGAAGUAGACCGCCUGGGGAGUACGGUCGCAAGAUUA